rnacentral:tRNA from 1 species
GGAGCUGUGGCUCAUUGGUAGACCUUCUGCUUCACACACAAAAGGUCCCAGGAUCAAUCCCUAGCAUUUCCA